UACGUAGGGUGCAAGCGUUGUCCGGAUUUACUGGGCGUAAAGCGCGCGUAGGCGGCUCGUUAAGUGUGAAGUGAAAUCCCUGGGCUCAACUCAGGAACUGCUUUACAUACUGGCGAGCUUGAGGGAUGCAGAGGUCUGUGGAAUUCCUGGUGUAACGGUGAAAUGUGUUGAUAUCAGGAGGAACACCCAUGGCGAAGGCAGCAGACUGGGCAUCGUCUGACGCUGAGGUGCGAAAGCGUGGGUAGCAAACAGG
rnacentral:rRNA from 1 species